CCUUUAGCCUUCCAAGCUACCGAUGCGGGUUCGAUUCCCGCUACCCGCU
rnacentral:tRNA from 1 species